GGGAAAUGGGAAUGGAGAAGAAAAUAGUAGCUGUUUUGUUGAUAGUUGGCGUGAUGUUGGGUCAUUUGCAAAGCGGUGAGCCUUCUGAUGCCGAUUGCUUUGAUGGUUGCAUCACAGCUUGCGUACAACCAAACCUAAGGCUUAUGCGACGCUGUGAGAUCAAGUGCGGAAUUAAAUGCAAUUCUGGUAAUCUCUCCUUCCACUUUGGUUUCGGUUAUCCUGCAAUUUUUUUUGUUUAUUAUUUGUUUUAGAAUUAUCCACACCUGCAGUGGAUCAGAUGAAUUGAUUAAUUAAUACGGUUAGUUUAAUAAAAUUUAUAAAUAAUAGACUUGAAUUCUCUGAGUUACGCUCACUAAUUAAUUGCAUAACUUGAUUUAUUGCGGUUUCCUUUAAAGGAUUUUAGCCAAUGAAACAUAUACCGCAUUGUGCAGCUUCUCAAAUGGAAGAUCCUUUGGGUUGAGGUAUUCUUCACCGCAUGGGAAAAGUUGGGCUCAUUAUCUAUUGUAACAGUUAGAAAUAACGGCCUAAUAGGCUUCUUCACUUGUACGCCUUAAUUUCCUGGAAACUUUUCAUGUUUAAUUUAAAUAAAAAAAUAUAAAUAAGGGCUCGUGGCGUCAAUCUAUGCUCAAUGUGACAAAUACAAGCUAAAAAUCUUUGGCUUCAUGUUUGUCUUUAAACUGUCCUUGUAAAUAAAGAGGAAGUGUUGGUCGGCUUUGACUUAAGCUUGGGAAUCCUUUGCUGUUUAGUAAUGCUUCUGAAAGAGUUCCUGCGUCGAUUGCCAAUGCAUAUGAUAUGUGAAAGUCCACCAAGGGAGUUGCUCUGAACUCUUCAUCUUGGCCGAUUUCCAACAGGUUGGGCUGGUCAUUUGGGUCAAUUGAGGUCGCCGUGGUGCCUUUUGAGCCGACUGGCUUCCUUUUUCAAGCUCCGUUGCUCUUGCCCCCUAUUCUUAUUUAUGUUGGCCUCUCAAACUCUUCUUCAAUGAUUUUCAUUCUAUAAAGGUCAAUUGUGCCUUUGGCUUGAGGAUGUACUUUUCAUUUAGUUGUUUGAGUUGUUUGUGUUAGUACAUGUACACUGCAGCUAUUAUGUUGAUUGUAGGGGUAAUUACUUAAUUUCAUGAAAAUUAAAUUUUUUUUUUAUAAAUAAA
rnacentral:misc_RNA from 1 species